ensembl:snoRNA Z30 small nucleolar RNA
CUGCGGUGAUGAUGUCGAUUUCCCUGACCUGGUAUUGUGGGCCCCGGGGCCCACUCUGACCGGUGUGUGACCUCUGAAUCUUCUCUCUGAGCAG